rnacentral:sRNA from 1 species
UGGCUUGUGCUAAUCAGAGACUCAAAGAAAGAUUACUGAAGCGUGCAGAACAGCAGGGCCGACCAGACGACAAUGUAAAAGCUACCCAAAGGAGACUAAUGAACUUCAAGCAGAAUGCUGCUCCAUUGGUUAAAUACUUCCAGGAAAAGGGGCUCAUCAUGACAUUUGAUGCCGACCGCGAUGAGGAUGAGGUGUUCUAUGACAUCAGCAUGGCAGUUGACAACAAGUUAUUUCCAAACAAAGAGGCUGCAGCAGGUUCAAGUGACCUUGAUCCUUCGAUGAUAUUGGACACUGGAGAGAUCAUUGAUACAGGAUCUGAUUAUGAAGAUCAGGUAAUUAAAAUCUGAAAAUAGUUCUCUAUUUAAAUGUUUUUAAGUUGAACCUUUGUAAAUGUUUUAUGAAAAUUUGAAUUAUAAAAACUCAUUUUGUGAAAUAUAUACAGAUAACUAAUAACAUAUUACAUGAU